GGAGGGGGGAGAGGGGGGAAAGCAGCGUCUGUUUUUGGGUGCAAACCCCGGACUUUGCAAAACAAUCUCCGCCCCCGAGGGGGUAUUUAAUUUGCCACAGAAAUCGCUGCUCGCGGAGGCAAACUUGAGACGGGGAAGGGGUGCAGGGAGCGGAGGAAGGGGACCCCCGCCCCGCUGCCGGCCCCAGCAGAGCCCGACCCCUGCAAGGGAAGAUGCGUUUCUCUUUCCCGGCGGCUGCUCUCGGGACGAGACUUUCGCGUGGGCUGAUCGGGACUGGACUUUUUAAGGACGCGCUUACCCAUCUAAGGGCGAUUUGGGCAUAAACAGCAACACAAACUCUGAUUUGGUGCUGGAAGCUGCCUCUGCCACUGAACAGCUGCUCUCACCCUGCUUCUGUCCCUCCCCCGUCCCGUUCUCAGAAGAGGAUCCUGAGCUAUUUUGCUGCCUUUUUUUUUUUUUUUUUUAAUUCUUGUUGCAUGAAUUUUAUUUUAGGUGGUUAUCUUUUCCGGCUGGCUUGGCCGUUUUGGGGUCUUGCGGACUGCUAGCUGCAGUAACAGCUCCACCGUCUCGCAUCAUGGCUAGCCCCACAGAUAAUAACGAGGGCUUCUUCUCCGAUGUCAGAAAGGUGGGUUACUUGCGCAAACCCAAGAGCAUGCAUAAACGCUUUUUUGUGCUGAGGGCAGCCAGCGAGUCUGGACCCGCCCGGCUGGAGUAUUACGAGAAUGAGAAGAAAUGGAGACACAAGUCAGGGGCCCCCAAGCGCUCCAUCCCACUAGAAAGCUGCUUCAACAUCAACAAACGGGCUGACUCCAAGAACAAGCACCUGGUGGCCCUCUACACCAAGGACGAGCACUUUGCCAUUGCAGCUGACAGCGAGCCUGAACAGGAGAGCUGGUACCAAGCGCUGCUGCAGUUGCACAACAGGGCCAAGGGCCACCACCACCUCCAUCACCAUCACCACCACCACCACAGCGACGUCACCUUUGGAGGCAGCAACGCGGGACUGGGGGAAGCAGGUGAGGACAGCUAUGGUGAGGUAGCCCCUGGCCCAGCUUUUAAGGAAGUUUGGCAAGUAAUUCUGAAGCCUAAGGGCCUAGGCCAGACAAAGAACCUGAUUGGCAUCUACCGCCUGUGCCUGACUAACAAGACCAUCAGCUUUGUGAAGCUGAAUUCAGAUGCGGCUGCUGUGGUGUUGCAGCUGCUCAAUAUCCGCCGCUGUGGUCACUCUGAGAACUUCUUCUUUAUUGAGGUGGGGCGCUCGGCUGUCACUGGGCCUGGUGAGUUCUGGAUGCAGGUGGAUGACUCGGUGGUGGCGCAGAACAUGCAUGAAACCAUCCUGGAGGCCAUGCGAGCCAUGAGUGAGGAAUUCCGGCCCCGCAGCAAGAGCCAGUCUUCCUCAAACUGUUCCAACCCCAUCUCUGUGCCCCUUCGCAGCAGGCACCAUGUCAACAACCCCCCACCUAGCCAAGUGGGGCUCAGUCGCCGGUCCAGGACUGAGAGUGUCACAGCCACCUCUCCUGCUGGUGGUGGGGGUGGAGGUACGGGUGGCAAACCCAGCUCUUUCCGGGUUCGAGCAUCGAGUGACGGGGAAGGCACGAUGUCGAGGCCUGCCUCUGUGGAUGGUAGCCCAGUCAGUCCCAGUGCCAACCGGACCCAUUCGCAUAGACACCGUGGCAACUCCAGGCUCCAUCCUCCGCUCAACCACAGCCGGUCCAUCCCAAUGCCUUCUUCGCGCUGCUCUCCUUCAGCCACCAGUCCAGUCAGCCUGUCAUCCAGCAGCACUAGUGGCCACGGCUCCACCUCGGACUGCCUGUUUCCACGAAGGUCUAGUGCUUCGGUUUCUGGCUCCCCUAGCGAUGGCGGAUUUAUUUCUUCUGAUGAGUAUGGUUCCAGCCCGUGUGACUUCCGCAGCUCUUUUCGCAGUGUGACCCCAGAUUCAUUGGGACACACCCCACCAGCUCGGGGCGAUGAAGAGCUCAACUACAUCUGCAUGGGGGGGAAGGCCACCUCCUCUUGCUGCAGCCUGGCAGCCCCCAACGGCCACUUCAUCCCACGCACCUGCCACCCGCAGCAGCAGCCCCGCUACCCUAGUACGCCGUGCUGUCCUCGAGGUGGUAGCGAGGAGGUUGCCGACUUGGAGAAGGCAUUCAGGAAGCGGACUCACUCUGCGGGCACUUCGCCCACCAUCUCCCACCAGAAGACGCCCUCGCAGUCUUCGGUGGCCUCCAUCGAGGAGUAUACGGAGAUGCUGCCUUCUUACCCCUGCGGCGGCAGCCGGCUGCCCUCCUACCGGCACUCAGCCUUUGUGCCCACUCACUCCUACCCAGAGGAGUGUCUGGAGAUGCACCACCUGGACAGCGGCCAUCAUCGGACCAACUCCGCCCCACACACAGAUGACGGCUACAUGCCCAUGUCACCCGGUGUAGCCCCUGUGCCCGGCGGCGGGGGGCCCCCCAAGGGUGGUGACUACAUGCCCAUGAGUCCUAAGAGUGUGUCGGCUCCACAGCAGAUCAUCAACCCUGGCAGGGGGGGCCGCCACCCUCCAGCCACGGUGGACUCCAACGGCUACAUGAUGAUGUCCCCCAGCGGCAGCUACUCCCCCGACAGCGGCUCUGCGGGCUACGGCAAGAUCUGGACAAAUGGUGCCGGCCACCACCCGAAGCUUUCGGUGGAGAGCAACGAAGGGAAGCUCCCCUGCGGUGGUAGCGACUACAUAAACAUGUCCCCAGCCAGCGGCUCCACCACCAGCACUCCGCCUGACUGCUACUUUGGGGGCGCCGGGCAGCCAGGUGUCGAGGAGGCCGCCACCGCGGCCCACCACAAACCCAUAUACUCCUACUUCUCGCUGCCACGCUCCUUCAAGCACGUGCACCGGCGGGGCGGCGGCGGGGCGGUGGCGGGCGAGGAGGGCAGCCCCCAGCCCCGCAUCGCUCUCGGCUCUGGCCGCCUCCUCUACGCCGCCGAGGACUCGUCCUCCUCCACCAGCAGCGACAGCCUGGGCGGCGGCGGCGGAGGCACCGAGGGCGGCCCGCCGCCGCAAGCGCAGCCCCCGCGCAAGGUGGACACGGCCGUGCAGACCAAGGGCCGCCUGGCACGACCGACGCGCCUGUCGCUGGGUGGCCCCAAGGCCAGCACCCUGCCGCGGGCCCGGGAGCAGCCCCCGCUCCUCCUGCCCCCGGAGCCCAAGAGUCCCGGCGAGUACGUCAACAUCGAGUUCAUCGCCGGCGAGAAGCCGACCUUCCCCUCGGCCGCCCUGGGGCUGGGCUUGCCGCCGCCGGGCAACGAGGGCGCCGAGGAGUACAUGAACAUGGAGCUGGGGCCGCCGCGGGCCCCCUGCCCCGCCGGCUUCGCCGCCGCGCGGGCGGCCUCCGCGGCCCGGCCCGGCCGAGGCGCGGCCCCCGGCGGCCGGGACUACGUGACGAUGCAGCGGGGGGGCGCCGCCGCCGGGGGCUCCUGCUCGGACUGCGCCGACAGCCCUUCCCCCUGCUCGCCCGCCCUCCUACUCAGCUACGCCGACGUGCGGGCGGGCCGCUCGGCCGCCGAGAAGCCCCCGCCGGCGGCGGCGGCGGCUUCCCCGGAGCUGCCGCGGCCGCCGGCCGAGCUGUCGGCGGCGCCGCCGCGCUCCUCCUCCCUGCUGGGGGGCCCCGGCGCGGGCAGCGCCUUCACCCGCGUCAGCCUCAGCCCCGGCCGCAACCAGAGCGCCAAGGUGAUCCGCGCCGACCCGCAGGGUGGCCGGCGGCGGCACAGCUCCGAGACCUUCUCGUCCACGCCGAGCGCCGCCCGCGGAGCGGCGGGCGGCGGCGGGCUCGGGGCGCCCUUCCCCUGCGGCGGCGCGGGGGGCGCCGAGGAGGUGAAGCGCCACAGCUCGGCCUCCUUCGAGAACGUCUGGCUGCGGCCCGCCGCCGGGGAGGCGGCCGGCGCCCCCGCUGCCCGCCGGGAGCCGGGGGCCGCGCCCGCCCUGGAGAACGGGCUCAACUACAUCGACCUGGACUUGGUGAAGGACUUCAGUCACCGCCGCCACCACCGCCUCCACCCCCCCGCCGAGGGCGCCGCUCUGCCGGGGGGGAGGCAGCCGCCGCCGCCGAAGCCCCCGGGCCAGCCUCGCGGGAGCGGCCACUCCGGCGACGACUUAAGCGCGUACGCCAGCAUCAGCUUCCAGAAGCGGGAGGAGAUGUAGGAGCCGGCCGCCCGCCGGGGAAGUAAGCUGCAUCUCCAAGGGACACCCUUGAUCUACUUGCUUAAAUUCAUCGGUACUGCAAGCUGAGAUGGCUAUUGCUUCAUGAAUGAUGACCUAUACAACCUCAGCAAAUCCUUCUUUUUACUCAUGGGUAUCAAGACUAUAAAUGUUUCAUGCUAUCACAACUAGGACCUCACCUCCUCUUCCUCCUCCUCUUCCUCUGUAAAUGGGUACGAUGCAUCCAGUUCAGUUUGUUUACUUUACACAAACCUCAGGAGUUAGUUGACUGAGCUGCACAUCCUGUGUUGUGCCAAGCAGAAGCACUGUGACACCUGGACAAUUAGUCUCUCUUACUUCAUCCUCUACCAUAAGGACUUAGCUGGCCACGAUGAACUGAUGUGCCCACCACUAUGUCAUGGUGAGAAUGGGUAUUUUACUAGCACAUUUACACAACUUCAUUUGCUGCUGAAAACCUGUAUGACAAAUCAUCAUUGUAAAUUAUUACAUACAAAACUUAAUGUUGGUUGAAGAGUAUUAAAUAUUUAACAUAGGUUUUGAUUUAUACAUGUACUUUUUUAAUUAAAAUGUAACUUUUCCUACAGCACAUCUUUUUUGAUGUGGAACUGAGGUAUACUAUAUUCUGUUGUAAACAGAGUGGGAAACCUGCUUAAAACAAGGCUUCUAAGAAUAGAGUAGGGUACUAUUCUUGUUUUAAGAUUGUAAUUCAGAAAAUAAUAUAAUACGAGUCAUUGGUCCCUGGGCCUUGAUUGUACAGUCAUAUUUACUGAUACUAUCAGUUGUAAGAUAACCCUGAUGUUGAGUUGAGUUCUUUCCAAAAGAAAAAUAAUUUUGUACUCCUUGUAAAAUAAUAGUCUGUAUUAACUACAAUGAAGACAAACGUUACUGUACAUGGUAUUUACAAGUGUCAACUUGAAUUCAUCAAUUGCACAGGAACUGACAAAAAAAUCAGAAAAAAGAAAUCAAAGUCUUCCAUUGUAUAUAUUGUAAAGAAAAAAAAAAACAACCAACAGAAAACCACAAAACAAAUUGAAAACAAAAAAGGGUGAACUUUUCAAAUUGACUCUUUCCCUGGAAUGAAAAUGUGGGUGUUUGUAAAUUCUGGAAAUCUCUUUCUAUAUGUAAUAAACUAGAUACUGUUUUA